rnacentral:lncRNA from 1 species
UUUUUUUUGGUUUGUAAUUUUAUUUGAGCACAAGUCUGUAUUAAUUGAUAAGACUCGGAGACAUUUCAUUUGGAUUGCUGUGCCAGACCUACAAAUAUGGCAAUCGGGCUGAAUGUGCAUUCAGCAAUAAUAGUAGUAUAGAUGGACCAUAAGUGGCAUGCAUCGGAAAGGGCCAAGAUGCUGGCUAAAAAAAGGAUGUUGUUGUAGCCAAAAAAAGUACAGCGGCCUGGCUUAUGUAUGUUAGUUGAUAUUAUUGAUCCAUAUACUCUAUAAGUGUUUAUAUGUUAGUUCUGUACAUUCUUGGUUGAUUGACUCGGUAUUUGAAUCUUGAUACAUCGCUUGUGUACAUAUCUAAAUGGGAGUACACAUUAUGCUGCGUGUGACAUUUGAGUUGGACAUGAAGUGUUCCAAAUAUUUGAAUUCACCUUAAACUGGCUUCUAUCUUCUGAAUUUAAGUAUCGGCAUUUGUAAACCAUAUUCAUAUAUGGCAGUGGAAUACAUCUUUGUCGUCCUUUUGAAGAUAUAUAAAAACACAUAGAAUGAUUUAUAAAGAUUCAUAUAGGAAUACAAAAUGGAUUCGAAUUUAGUUGCCAGGGUAAACGUGGAUGCUUAUUGUCCCAAAAUUCGAAAGAAGCGGCAAAAUGUCCACUCCCACGUCGGCUGCCCGAAGCCAAGUGUUUGGGAGAUGGAAAUUACUGUCUACCCAUUACACGGACAAUCCAUCGGCCCGAUUUCCACUACUCUAAAUAGGGGUAGGUUAGUAACUUCAAUUAGACGUGACACGACCGCCUCUGAGCCCAUUCCGACACGGUGGGCGUCAAACAUGGGCGGCAAAACACAUUUGAUUCAAGCUCGUCCGAAAGACCUCUAUUUCUCCCUCCAUCCCCAUUCAUACACGGUGGGCGGCAAAACAAACUCGACUCGGCCGAAAUCGAUGUAGGCAAAUAUUUUCAAUAGGGGUAGGUUUGUAACUUCACUCAGACGUGACACAACCGCCCUACCUGUCAGCCCUGUUCAUACACCGUGGGUGCCAACCAUGGGCACCAACCACCCUCUCUUUGCCCAAAAUCGCUCUGGGCAAAUAUUGGCGAAAUGCGAGAUUACCGUCCUAUCCUCAACCGACGAGACGUACAAAUUUUAAACGGGGGCUAAGUUCGUAACUUUCCCAUAUUUCAGACAGGCGCGUCCCAAAAACAUGGUUCCCCGUACCUCAAUUUUUGAUCUCAACCAGAAAAUAGAUCUUAACUUGGUUACUCUACUUUCUUUUCAGCUCUUAGAAUUUAGUUCUUAGUUCAAAGCGAACAAUGGAUGCUAAAUAUAAUUUCUCCGGUUUGCAGCUUCAAAUAUGCCAUGGCACAGUCAUAAUAUGGCUUAAUUGAUCAUGCUUAGGGUUUAAUUGAUCAUGUUGGUUCCAUGGCGGUUUCUUUAAUAGAAAUCGGAGGGGAAACCCUCUUUUGCUAAAAAAAUAUGCUUAGAGUUCCCCCUUUUAUGAUCACUGUACGAUUAGAAUACGUGCUUCGUGUCAUAAUAACACUGCUCCACCCAUCAAGCUAAACAAGCUUAGUUGUUCAAAUACGAAUAUGAUAUUAUUAAAACAGAGUCGUUUAAAUUUGGACGGUCUCUUACUGCAGUUACAAUUCUGCAUACUUGUCCUAGUAAGCUCACAAGUAAAUGAUUGAUUCACUACAUCUAUGCUUGCCUUGUCAUAUUUGUUGUCAAUAUUCUUUUAGGGUGGACCACCCUGUUUCUAAAUACUGGAACCGUAGACAUGAGUGAAUAGUAUUUCCCUAUGUGAUCUCUUCCAUCAUGUGUGGGCAACGAACACUGCAUUGUAUAGAAAGAAAGUGUCAUUUCCAGCUUUUACAUAGGUUUCGAUCUUUUACAUGGAAUACAAUCUGCCUACUUGCUUUGUGUCGCACUACCAACACUCCACCCUUGAAGCUAAACAUUAUUCCACUCAUAAUUCCUUAGUUUAUUUGUUCAAAUACAAAUUUCAUAUGAUUCUAAUGUUCCUACUUCAGUUUUGAAAUGUGUGUCUGCCUGUUAUAGAGACAUAAGGGGUUUGUAUUUCUGUGUGUGGUCUGGUCAGCACGGUUGGGGCGUGAACUUUGCAUAUGCAGGGGUUUAUAGGGAGACACUCUUUGAGUUGAAUCCGCAAUGCAUUCCAUAGAUAAUCUGACUACUUUUUAUGUUUUCAUGAAUCUCAUAUUCUGAACAACAUCAUAAUGAUUAUGAGCUUGCGCGCAUGAAAAGAAUAAAGCAGAACAAUGCCAUGGCUGUCAAACUUGGCAUUAAGGGAUUGAAAUCAAGUCUGGAUGCAAUGCAAUGCAAAUGCUCUCCACCUACAGAUUCAUGCUCAGAAUAUGAUCCUAACAGUGAUUCUGAGCUAGAGGGAGACCUUAGUCAAUGUAGCUCCCUAGUGGAGGAGUCAGAGGAAGAUGCCCUAUCUUAUUCACCCAUCAAGGUGCUUGCUCUAACUUUCCAAGGUUAAUUGGUCGCACAUAUCUUGCAACUGAUGCUUUGCAUUGCUUCUACUUUGUUGAACUGCCAUUAGCUUAGUUUACACAUCGUGUAUGUGAAUACGCCCUGCCUAUCCAUUUUCAGUACAUAUUCCAUCUGUCAUCAUACCAUAUUUAUCCAUUCAAAUGUUGUUCUUGUGUAUCAGACGUUCAAAAGGAAGAGGGCGAUUGCUGAUCGUGGAGGAGCACAAGCAAAGUAUUUGGAAAAGGUAGUGGCACCUGAUAAAUCAAAUAGCCCAUUAGGUGUAGUUGCAAUAUCACCUGACCCAUAAAACACCCCAACUCUAGCAGACUCUAGCCCUACUACACUGGUCAUUUCUGAUGCCCCAACUCAGCAGACCCCAACUGCAACAAACAGUAUGAUUAUGCCAGUUGACAUAGCACCAGCUCUACGAUGCAAAACCCCCAUUCCAGCAAAGAGUACACCAAAUCCAGUUGCCAAAUCCCUUUUCGAACCAGAGAGAGCCCCAAUUGCAGCAAAUAGGACCCCUGUUCCAUUUCUUCCUAGUUUAGAAGACGAAGCUUAUAUUGUUGUCAGGAACUUUGUGCGCAUCUUUCCUCCAUGGAAAGAUUAUACCGCAGACACAGACCAAUUUCCAGUCUUCCUCCGCAACUUACGCGUAAGUAAUGUACUAAUGUUAUUCAUGGUAAUUACUGCAUAUGUUUCUGCUGACAGAAGACACAAGAUUUCAUUCUUUUAAAUAGGCGAGGACCAAACUGGAUUGUCAAGACGAGCAAGGGUUGGUUGUGCUUUUCAAGCACUCGUUGAUGAAGUAUCGUUCCUACCUGAGGCAAGCGCACUUCGAUGGCAAGCCUCUAAACGAAAUUUCUGUAAAGUCUCCGGUGCUACAUUUAUCUGACAGUGACUGGAAUAAUCUUGUUACACAUUGGUCUCGGCUGCAGCGUAAGGUACUGUCUAUGAUAUCACAUCACAAUUUGAACUACAUUUCUGCAUUUGCCUUAAUGUCUCACUUGUACGAAAACUGUUAGCAGAAGAACAUUCGUUCUCAAGGGACCACAGAAUCUCGCAACUAUACUGCACACAGCAUUGCUCUUGUGAGUACCUCUUGCCCUGUAUGACCAUACUUACUUUCAUAGCUGUUUGAUUAUGUAGCAUCACUACACAUGUUAGCCUCGUAAUCAUCCAUUUGGUGGACAUUAUAAGAUCCGUAUGGACUCUUACAUAAAUUUAGAAUCAACCCAAUGCUUUUGAAGAGGUUUAGCUCUGCAGUCCUCUUGUAAGGACUGAACGUGGUCUAUCAAUGUACUUACAUUAACAACUACUCCCUCCGUCCCAUAAUAUAAGAACGUUUUGUACAGUACACCAGCGUUCAAAACACUCUUGUAUUAUGGGAAGAGGGAUUGGUUCAUUCUGUAGCAUUCUGCAUCUUAUCUCCCUCGCCCACCAUUAACUAAAAAAGAUCAGAUCUAUAUUUAAUCUUACCAACAAUUAGAAUACACAGACAAUGCCAGUGCAGAAGUGUAGCCCAUCUUAUCAUCAAUGGAUUGGUAGUUGAUUAUGUAGCAUCAAUCUGCAUCUUAUUUUCAUUAUCCUCUAUCCCUUCCAGUAUUAUCAUAUCUAUAAUUACUCUCUACAAAAUGUAGAGUACAGGCAAUGCUUAUGAAGAAGAUUCUGUGCUGAAAUUCUUGAGUUAUCCUUCCCUUCACAUGGAGAAGGGCAUUAUAAAGCCGGUGUUAACUGUUAGUGUAAGUCAGUCCUAAAGCCUUUAUCCUCAACUGCUGUUUAAUUUGCUCAUACUCCCUAUCGUUUACUGCUGUUUAGUUUGCUGUUUCUACCAAAAUGCAUGUUCACAAGAACCGUAAGUUCUAAGUUUUACUUGUAAAACCAAAUUCCUUAUUCAUACCAUGCACAUUACUUAAUACUCCCUAUAUGUAUGCUUGUUUUGUGGAUCUAUAAUCCAGUGUGUGGUGAAGCAGCCCACGUUUGCACCUUGCCAUCUCCUGUUUUAUGUUACUGAUGUGGCUGAUGACAUGAACAACAUGCCAUGCACAUUAACCAAAAUAGAUACAAUGAUUUUCUUUGCCCUUCAUCUAUGCUUGUUAUGUUGACAUGUUAAUCCAGUAGUGUGGUGAAGCUCCCCGCAUUAUGAACAAUGCCAAAUUAUGCUAUUGAUAUUUUGAACUUACUCUUUAUUUUCUAAUUUGAAAUUGGAUGGAAUUGACAGCAUAGUUAUCAUCUUUGUUUAUACACGUGCAAAACCUGUCAUCUCUCUGCUUUGUUUCAGGGUGAUAUGCCUGAUGGCAUGCACAAGUCUGCUGAAGGUUGUGAGACAAACCCAACAUAUAUUGCAGCAAAGAAGGGAAAACAUCUUGAAGAUAGCGAGACAACCCCAAAGUCUUGUCUUGAUGCAGUGUUCAAGUUACUUGAGACUAGCAGUCAGACAAGCUCACAGAAUUCGUUGUCUGAAUCAGUUUGACUUCUUCAGUCCCAAGUUCUAGCAGAAAGGCAUUCUGCAACUCAACUUCGACCUGAAGUCCUAUCUCUAAGAAAGAUUGCGGAGAACACCAAUGAGAACCUCAUCGCUAAACAGCUACACCUGGAAGCUAUGACCGACAUGCUAGGCCGGUCUCACAGCCUUGCUCAGCAGCUUGCGCAGCAGUUCCCCCGCAAGGCUAACCUUCCUUGAACUGUCUUGGAAGUGGUCUCGGUUCAGUAUUAUUUUGUUACGCUGCAAUGGUGCCCAGUUUUUGUAAUCUGCUUCUUCGUUGCGCUUUAUGAUCACUGGUGGCGAACUUCGAUGCCUAGUGGAUGUAAUAUACCUUAAAUCCUUUAUUGUAUAGUGUAGGUUUAUUCUUAGUUACUAUGCCGUAAUUUCUUUAUUGUAUACAGUAGGUUUGUUCUUAAUUCCUACUAGUUACUGCUAUCAUUCGCUAUCUGAAAAAAAUCAGAUGUAGUCGACCGGACCGAAUCAUUCAACUCUAAUGGGCCUGGUUUUUAGCGGGCCACAAUUGGGCCGACCUGCGUCUUUCUUGGGCCUGAAUGAUUGGGGCCUUCACACAUUGCGCCAGGCCCACAACUUACACCGGCCUAUAUUUUAGUUGGGCCUUUUGUCAACCCAGCGCUUAGUUUGGCCCAGGUAGCAUUGGGCCAUUAACAGGUUGAAUAUUGUACUGGCCUGUUACGGCCCAGAUGAAACCACGGGCCUUUAGCAGGCCGAAAUGCAUGUUGGGCCUCAAUUUUCACUAGUCGUCGACGGGCCUUCAGCAUGCUGAAAUGUAGACCGGGACUUUUUGGGCCCAGUUAGCUCACGGGCCGUUACCAGGCCGAAACAUAUCUUAGGCCUUAGUUGGCCCACUGAUAUCAUGGGCCUUUAAGAGGCCGAAAGCUUAGUACAGGCAUCAACAGGCCAAAUUACGCGACAGGCCUUUAACAGGCCCAAAGUCACAUUGGGCUUAACUGUUGCCACCUUUAGCACGGGCCGUUAGUGGGCCCGAUGUCCUGUCGGACCAUAUAUGGCCCAUGGGCAGCACGGGCCAUUCCCAGGCCGAAAGUCACUGGGCUGUAGUUGGGCCCAAAUAUUCGACGAACAAUUAACGGGCCAGAUCUGGCUUUGGGCCAUAAAAGGGCCCAAAUAUUGGGCGAACAAUUAACGGGCCAGAUCUGGCUUCGGGCCGUAAAUGGGCCCAAAUAUUGGGCGAACUAUUACCGGGCCAGAUCUGGCUUCGGGCCGUAAAUGGGCCUUUAUUAAGCAAGCCGUUAUUGGGCUGGCCCACUAGUACCCGAUUAAGUACUACGGGCCUUUGACUGGGCCGGCCUUUUUAACCUAUAUGGGCCUCUGUUGGGCCCAACCACGUGUCGACGUAUCAUAGGCAUGUCUCCUCCAAUGGACGGGCGACAUCUAGCCCACUGACGAGCUGACAGGUGUUCCCUCCGGCCAAUCAGAAUUUUACACGUGGAAAUUUCCCAUUGGUCCGGGCUGUUAACGAGUUAUCGGAUCCAAAACCCGACCCGAUAGCUUAACGGCGUUCUGUUAUGGUGGAUGCCACGUGUCGGUCACCCUUGACGAAAGCACUUCUGUGACGCGCAAUUUAGGAAGUGGACACUUCCGUGAUGAUAAUUUUGGUAAUGUCAUGGAACACUUCUACGACAGCACAGGUAUGACUAUCUUGAUUCUGUCAUAAAAUCAUCAUGGAUGUACAUGCAUGACAAAAAACGCGACCUACUGUGACAAACACGUAUCAUCACGGAAGUAUAUUUUUUUUGUAGUGCAAUACCUUCUAACUCAGCAGGUGCAAUAUCAUGCAUAAUUUCUUCAUAUAAAGAAUGAGGUAUUGCACUCACACUAGCAACCAUAUCACAUAAGCCAUGAUAGCAAUGAUCUCCAAUUUUAACAGAAAUAACAGGCAUGCCUACAACAGGUCUAUGUUUAUUUUUAGUAUCGGGUCUAGCAAUUCUAGCAGCUUCAUCACAGAAGUAAAUAACAUGCCCAUCAAUAUUAUCGACCAAGAGAUCUUUAACCAUAGAAAUACUAGGUUCAACUUUAAUUUGCUCAGGGGGUGUAGAUGUUCUAAUAUUACUUUUGUUGACCACAGUUGAAGCUUUAGCAUGAUCCUUUAUUCUAACAGGGAAAGGUGGUUUCUCAAUAUAAGCGGUAGGAACAAUAGGAUCAACAUUAUAAGUGAUAGUAUUUUCUUCAACUUUAAUAGGUUCAACUACUUUUACUUCAAUGUGAGAAUGAUAUUUAAACCACUUCUCCUUAGGGAGAUCAACAUGAGUAGCAAAUGAUUCAUAGAAAGAAGCUACUAUCUCAGAGUCAACUCCAUAUUUAGUGCUAAAUUCACGGAAAACAUCGGUAUCCAUAAAAGAUUUAACACAAUCAAACUUAGGUGUUAUACCUGACUCCUUACCUUCGUUGAGUUCCCAAUCUUCAGAGUUGUGUUUAAUUCUUUCCAACAAAUCCCAUCUGAAUUCAAUAGUCUUCAUCAUAAAAGAACCAGUACAAGAAGUAUCGAGCAUGGAGCGAUUAUUGAGAGAAAGUCGAGCGUAAAAAUUUUGAAUAAUAAUUUCUCUUGAGAGCUCAUGAUUGGGGCAUGAAUAUAACAUUGACUUAAGCCUCCCCCAAGCUUGAGCGAUACUUUCUCCUUCAUGAGGCCAAAAAUUAUAUAUAUAUAAUUACGAUCACGAUGAACCGGAUGCAUAGGAUAAAACUUCUGAUGAAAUUCCAAUUUCAAUCGGUUGUAGUUCCAUGAUCCAAUAUCAUCACAUAGCCUAAACCAUGUCAAUGCCUUUCCCUUCAAAGAUAAAGGGAAGAACUUCUUCUUGACAACAUCCUCGGGCAAACCUGCAAGCUUAAAUAAUCCACAAACUUCAUCCACGUAGAUUAGGUGCAAAUCGGGAUGCAAUGUUCCAUCUCCUAUAAAAGGAUUAGCUAGCAGUUUCUCUACCAUACCCGAAGGAAUUUCAAAGUAAACAUUUUUAGUAGGUUCAGUAGGUUGAGGAGCAACUCUUUGCUCUACUGGUCGGGGUGAAGAUACCCCAAACAAGCCCCUCAAAGGAUUACUUUCCAUAGUAACAAGUGACAGUAAAUUUCAGCACACUAUAUAAAUUUUUCCUUACCAAAUUCCACCUACCAAAGGCGCUUCACUCCCCGGCAACGGCGCCAGAAAAGAGUCUUGAUGACCCACAAGUAUAGGGGAUCUAUCAUAGUCCUUUCGAUAAGUAAGAGUGUUGAACCCAACGAGGAGCAGAAGGAAAUGACAAGCGGUUUUCAGUAAGGUAUUCUCUGCAAGCACUGAAAUUAUCGGUAACAGAUAGUUUUGUGAUAAGGUAAUUUGUAACAGGUAACAAGUAAUAAAAGUAAAUAAGGUGCAGUAAGAUGGCCCAAUCCUUUUUGUAGCAAAGGACAAGCCUGGACAAACUCUUAUAUAAAGGAAAACGCUCCCGAGGACACAUGGGAAUUAUCGUCAAGCUAGUUUUCAUCACGCUCAUAUGAUUCGCGUUCGUUACUUUGAUAAUUUGAUAUGUGGGUGGACCGGUGCUUGGGUACUGCCCUUCCUUGGACAAGCAUCCCACUUAUGAGUAACCGCUAUUGCAAGUAUCCGCAACUACAAAAUAAGUAUUAAGGUAAACCUAACCAUAGCAUGAAACAUAUGGAUCCAAAUCAGCCCCUUGCGAAGCAAUGCAUAAACUAGGGUUUAAGCUUUUGUCACUCUAGCAACCCAUCAUCUACUUAUUACUUACCAAUGCCUUCCUCUAGGCCCAAACAAUGGUGAAGUGUCAUGUAGUCGAAAUUCACAUAACACCACUAGAGGAAAGACAACAUACAUCUCAUCAAAAUAUCGAACGAAUACCAAAUUCACAUGACUACUUAUAGCAAGACUUCUCCCAUGUCCUCAGGAACAAACGUAACUACUCACAAAUCAUAUUCAUGUUCAUAAUCAGAGGGGUAUUAAUAUGCAUAAAGGAUCUGAACAUAUGAUAUUCCACCAAAUAAACCAACUAGCAUCAACUACAAGGAGUAAUCAACACUACUAGCAACCCACAGGUACCAAUCUGAGGUUUUGAGACAAAGAUUGGAUACAAGAGAUGAACUAGGGUUUUAGAGGAGAUGGUGCUGGUGAAGAUGUUGAUGGAGAUUGACCACCUCCCGAUGAGAGGAUCGAUGGUGAUGAUUUCCCCCUCCCGGAGGGAUAUUUCCCCGGCAAAACAGCUCCGCCGGAGCCCUAGAUUGGUUUCGCCAGGUUCCGCCUCGUGGUGGCGGUGCUUCGUCCCGAAAGCUUGCUUAUGAUUUUUUCCAGGGCGAAAGACUUCAUAUAGCCAAAGAUGGGCACCGGAGGCCUGCUAGGGGGCCCACGAGGCAGGGGGGCGCGCCCAGGGUGGUGGGGCGCGCCCCCACCCUCGUGGACAGGGGGUGGCCCCCCUCUGGUGCUUUCUUCGCCCAAUAUUUUUAAUAUAUUCCAAAACUGACUUCUGUGGAGUUUCAGGACUUUUGGAGUUGUGCAGAAUAGGUCUCUAAUAUUUGCUCCUUUUCCAGCCCAGAAUUCCAGCUGCCGGCAUUCUCCCUCUUCAUGUAAACCUUGUAAAAUAAGAGAGAAAAGGCAUAAGUAUUGUGACAUAAUGUGUAAUAACAGCCCAUACUGCAAUAAAUAUCGAUAUAAAAUCUGGAGUCCGAUUUUGACGUUCUUUAGCUCGUUCUGAAGCUAUUGACAUCCCCCAUCCCAUAAAAUACCACCAACAUCAUUUGACUCUAAGACGUCUCCAACGUAUCUAUAAUUUUUGAUUGUUCCAUGCUAUUAUAUUAUCUGUUUUGGAUGUUUAAUGGGCUUUACUAAGCACAUUUAUAUUACUUUUGGGACUAACCUACUAACUGAAGGCCCAGUGCAAAUUGCUAUUUUUUUGCCUAUUUCAGUGUUUCGCAGAAAAGGAAUAUCAAACGGAGUCCAAACGGAAUGAAACCUUCGGGAGAGUUAUUUUUGGAACAAACGUGAUCCAGAGGACUUGGAGUGGACGUCAAGAAAGAAGCGAGGAGGCCACGAGGCAGGGAGGCGUGCCUGCCCCCUGGGCGCGCCCCACCCUCAUGGGCCCCUUGCAGCUCCACCGACCUACUUCUUCCUCCUAUAUAUACCCAUAUACCUCGAAAACAUCUAGGAGCACCACGAAACCCUAUUUCCACCGCCGCAACCUUCUGUACCCGUGAGAUCCCAUCUUGGGGCCUUUUCCGGUGCUCCGCCGGAGGGGGAAUCAAUCAUGGAGGGCUUCUACAUCAACACCAUAGCCUCUCCGAUGAUGUGUGAGUAGUUUACCACAGACCUUCGGGUCCAUAGUUAUUAGCUAGAUGGCUUCACCUCUCUCUUUGGAUCUCAAUACAAAGUUCUCCUCAAUUCUCUUGGAGAUCUAUUCGAUGUAAUUCUUUUUGCGGUGUGUUUGUCGAUAUCUGAUGAAUUGUGGGUUUAUGAUCAAGAUUAUCUAUGAACAAUAUUUGAAUCUCCUCUAAAUUCUUUUAUGUAUGAUUGGUUAUCUUUGCAAGUCUCUUCAAAUUAUCAGUUUGGUUUGGCCUACUAGAUUGAUCUUUCUUGCAAUGGGAGCAGUGCUUAGCUUUGAGUUCAAUCUUGUGGUGUCCUUUCCCAGUGACAGCAAGGCACGUAUUGUAUUGUUGCCACCGAGGAUAAAAAGAUGGGGUUUAUAUCAUAUUGCUUGAGUUUAUCCCUCUACAUCAUGUCAUCUUGCUUAAUGCGUUACUCCGUUCUUAUGAACUUAAUACUCUAGAUGCAUGUUGGAUAGCGGUCGAUGUGUGGAGUAAUAGUAGUAGAUGCAGAAUCGUUUCGGUCCACUUGUCGCGGACGUGAUGCCUAUAUACAUGAUCAUGCCUAGAUAUUCUCAUAACUAUGCGCUUUUCUAUCAAUCGCUCGACAAUAAUUUGUUCACCCACCGUAAUACUUAUGCUAUCUUGAGAGAAGCCACUAGUGAAACCUAUGGCCCCCGGGUCUAUUUUCCAUCAUAUAAGUUUUCAAUCUAUUUUUACUUUGCAAUCUUUACUUUCAAUCUAUAUCAUAAAAAUACCAAAAAUAUUUAUCUUAUUAUCUCUAUCAGAUCUCACUUUUGCAAGUGACCAUGAAGGGAUUGACAACCCCUUUAUCAUGUUGGUUGCAAGGUUCUUAUUUGUUUGUGCGUGUAUCCUCCUACUGGAUUGAUACCUUUGUUCUCAAAAACUGAGGGAAAUACUUACGCUACUUUGCUGCAUCACCCUUUUCUCUUCAAGGGAAAACCAACGCAUGCUCAAGAGGUAGCAAGAAGGAUUUCUGGCGCCGUUGCCGGGGAGGUUUAUGCCAAGUCAAGUCAAGAUUUGAUCUCCCGCCAACGUGCGGAUUUCUGGCGCCGUUGCUGGGGAGAUCUACGCCAAGUCAAGACAUACCAAGUACCCAUCACAACUCUUAUCCCUCGCAUUACAUUAUUUGCCAUUUGCCUCUCGUUUUCCUCUCCCCCACUUCACCUUUGCCGUUUUAUUCGCCCUCUUUUUUCGUUCGCCUCUUUUCGCUUGCUUCUUGUUGCCUGUUUGCCCUAAUGGCCCUGCCUAAAAACCUUGAUCCUCACCUUAAAAGGUUGGAAGAAAUUGAAAACAACGUCAAAAGCUUUAUGACUUUGCAAUUUGAGCAUAAUAAUUUCUUUAGAAACGAGCUUAAAGAACAAAAAGGCUUUAUGGAGUACAUGAAUAAAGAGCUUGAUGAUAUGUCUAAAGAAUUUUAUGGUUUGAAAUCUCAGUUUGCUCAUCUUGAAAAAUUAAUUGCCCAAAUUUCGGAUAAGCAGGCCACCUUAGUCAAUAAGAUGGCCACCAAACCGGAAGAUCUAGAAGGUAAUAGGGAUGAAGAUCUAAAAGUUAUUGAUGUGUAUCCUAUUAAAUCUUUGUUUUGCAAUAUGAAUCUUGAUAAUGAUGGGACUAGAGAUGAGUCAACUAUAGUUAAAAGGCGUCCCAAUGAUUCGGAGUUUUUAGAUCUUGAUGCAAAAAUUGGUAAAAGUGGGAUUGAAGAGGUCAAAACUUUACAUAGCAAUGAACCCACUAUUUUGGAUUUCAAGGAAUUUAAUUAUGAUAAUUGUUCUUUAAUAGAUUGUAUUUCCUUGUUGCAAUCCGUGUUAAAUUCUCCUCAUGCUUAUAGUCAAAAUAAAGCUUUUACCAAACAUAUCGUUGAUGCUUUAACGCAAUCUUAUGAAGAAAAACUUGAAUUAGAAGUUUCUAUCCAUAGAAACUUUAUGAUGAUUGGGAACCUACUAUUAAAAUUAAGAUUAAAGAUCAUGAAUGCUAUGCUUUGUGUGAUUUGGGUGCUAGUGUUUCCACGAUUCCAAAAACUUUGUGUGAUGUGUUAGGUUUCCGUGAAUUUGAUGAUUGUUCUUUAAACAUGCACCUUGCGGAUUCCACCAUUAAGAAACCUAUGGGAAGAAUUAAUGAUGUUCUUAUUGUUGCAAAUAGGAAUUAUGUGCCCGUAGAUUUCAUUGUUCUUGAUAUAGAUUGCAAUCCUACAUGUCCUAUUAUUCUUGGUAGACCUUUCCUUAGAACGAUCAGUGCAAUUAUUGAUAUGAAAGAAGGAAAUAUUAGAUUCCAAUUUCCAUUAAGGAAAGGCAUGGAACACUUUCCUAGAAAGAAAAUAAAAUUACCUUAUGAAUCUAUUAUGAGAGCCACUUAUGGAUUGCAUACCAAAGAUGACAAUACCUAGAUCUAUUCUUGCCUUUAUGCCUAGCUAGGGGCGUUAAACGAUAGCGCUUGUUGGGAGGCAACCCAAUUUUAUUUUUGUUCCUUGAUUUUUGGUUCUGUUUAGUAAUAAAUAAUUCAUCUAGCUUAUUUUUAGAUGUGGUUUUAUGUUUUAAUUAGUGUUUGUGCCAAGUAGAACCUUUGGGAAGACUUGGGUGAAGUCUUUAUGAUCUUGCUGUUAAAAACAGAAACUUUAGCGCUCACGAUAUUAGCAGCCAUAUUUUACUGGAGAGUGAUUUUAGGUUGAUUCUUUUUGAAGAUGAUUAAUAGAAAAAUUCAUCACGUCCAGAAAUUUAUUUCCGAAUUUUUGGAGUUCCAUAAGUAUACGUUUUAUACAGAUUACUACAGACUGUUCUGUUUUUGACAGAUUCUGUUUUCAUGUGUUGUUUGCUUAUUUUGAUGAAUCUAUGGCUAAUAUCGGAGGGUAUGAACCAUAGAGAAGUUGGAAUACAGUAGGUUUAACACCAAUAUAAAUAAAGCAUGAGUUCAUUACAGUAACUUGAAGUGGUGGUUUGUUUUCAUUUACUAAUGGAGCUCAUGAGAUUUUUCUGUUGAAUUUUGUGUUGUGAAGUUUUCAAGUUUUAGGUAAAGAUUUGAUGGAUUAUGGAAUAAGGAGUGGCAAGAGACUAAGCUUGGGGAUUCCCAAGGCACCCCAAGGUAAAAUUCAAGGACAACCAAAAUCCUAAGCUUGGGGAUGCCCCAGAAGGCAUCCCCUCUUUCGUCUUCGUCUAUCGGUAACUUUACUUGAGGCUAUAUUUUUAUUCACCACAUGAUAUGUGUUUUGCUUGGAGCGUCUUGUAUGAUUUGACUCUUUUUCUUUUAUUUUACCACAAUCAUCCUUUCUGUACACACCUUUUGGGAGAGACACACAUGAAUCGUAAUUUAUUAGAAUACUCUAUGUGCUUCACUUAUACCUUUUGAGCUAGAUAAUUUUGCUCUAGUGCUUCACUUAAAUCUUUUAGAGCACGGUGGUGGUUUUAUUUUAUAGAAAUUAUUGAUCUCUCAUGCUUCACUUAUAUUAUUUUUAGAGUCUUUUAGAACAGCAUGGUAGUUUGCUUUGGCUAUAAAAUUAGUCCUAAUAUGAUGAGCAUCCAAGAUGGGUAUAAUAAAAACUAUCAUAUAAAGUGCAUUGAAUAUUAUGAGAAGUUUGAUACUUGAUGAUUGUUUUGAGAUAUGAAGAUGGUGAUAUUAGAGUCAUGCUAGUUGAGUAGCUGUGAAUUUGAGAAAUACUUGUUCUAAAGUUUGUGAUUCCCGUAGCAUGCACGUAUGGUGAACCAUUAUGUGAUGAAGUCAGAGCAUGAUUUAUUUAUUGAUUGGCUUCCUUAUGAGUGGCGGUCGGGGACGAGCGAUGGUAUUUUCCUACCAAUCUAUCCCCCUAGGAGCAUGCGCGUAGUACUUCGUUUCGAUAACUAAUAGAUUUUUUGCAAUAAGUAUGUGAGUUCUUUAUGAUUAAUGUUGAGUCCAUGGAUUAUAUGCACUCUCACCCUUCCACCAUUGCUAGCCUCUCUAAUACCGCGCACCUUUCGCCGGUAUCAUACACACACCAUAUACCUUCCUCAAAACAGCCACCAUACCUACCUAUUAUGGCAUUUCCAUAGCCAUUCCGAGAUAUAUUGCCAUGCAACUUACCACCGUUUCGUUUAUUGUGACACGCUUCAUCAUUGUCAUAUUGCUUUGCAUGAUCAUGUAGUUGACAUCGUAUUUGUGGCAAAGCCACCAUUCAUAAUUAUUUCAUACAUGUCACUCUUGAUUCAUUGCAUAUCCCGGUACACCCAGAGGCAUUCACAUAGAGUCAUAUUUUGUUCUAAGUAUUGAGUUGUAAGUAAAUAAAAGUGUGAUGAUCAUUAUAUUAGAGCAUUGUCCCAUGUGAGGAAAGGAUGAUGGAGACUAUGAUUCCCCCACAAGUUGGGAUGAGACUCCAGACAAAAAAAGAGAAAAAAAGAGAGGCCAAAAAAAGAGAUAAAGGCCCAAAAAAAUGAGAGAAAAAGAGAGAAGGGACAAUGUUACUAUCCUUUUACCACACUUGUGCUUCAAAGUAGCACCAUGAUCUUCAUCAUAGAGGGUCUCCUAUGUUGUCACUUUCAUAUACUAGUGGGAAUUUUACAUUAUAGAACUUGGCUUGUAUAUUCCAAUGAUGGGCUUCCUCAAAAUGCCCUAGGUCUUCGUGAGCAAGCGAGUUGGAUGCACACCCACUUAGUUUCUUUUGUUGAGCUUUCAUACACUUAUAGCUCUAGUGCAUCCGUUGCAUGGCAAUCCCUACUCACUCACAUUGAUAUCUAUUAAUGGGCAUCUCCAUAGCCCGUUGAUACACCUAGUUGAUGUGAGACUAUCUUCUCCUUUUUGUGUUCUCCACAACCACCAUUCUAUUCCACAUAUAGUGCUAUGUCCGUGGCUCACGCUCAUGUAUUGCGUGAAGAUUGAAAAAGUUUGAGAACAUCAAAAGUAUGAAACAAUUGCUUGGCUUGUCAUCGGGGUUGUGCAUGAUUAAAUACUUUGUGUGAUGAAGAUAGAGCAUAGCCAGACUAUAUGAUUUUGUAGGGAUAACUUUCUUUGGCCAUGUUAUUUUGAGAAGACAUGAUUGCUUUGUUAGUAUGCUUGAAGUAUUAUUAUUUUCAUGUCAAUAUUAAACUUUUGUCUUGAAUCUUUCGGAUCUGAACAUUCAUGCCACAAUAAAGGAAAUUACAUUGAGAGAUAUGCUAGGUAGCAUUCCACAUCAAAAAUUCUAUUUUUAUCAUUUACCUACUCGAGGACGAGCAGGAAUUAAGCUUGGGGAUGCUUGAUACGUCUCCAACGUAUCUAUAAUUUUUGAUUGUUCCAUGCUAUUAUAUUAUCUGUUUUGGAUGUUUAAUGGGCUUCACUAAGCACUUUUAUAUUAUUUUUGGGACUAACCUACUAACCGAAGGCCCAGUGCAAAUUGCUGUUUUUUUGCCUAUUUCAGUGUUUCGCAGAAAAGGAAUAUCAAAUGGAGUCCAAACGGAAUGAAACCUUCGGGAGAGUUAUUUUUGGAACAAACGUGAUCCAGAGGACUUGGGGUGGACGUCAAGAAAGAAGCAAGGAGGCCACGAGGCAGGGAGGCGCGCCUGCCCCCUGGGCGCGCCCCCACCCUCGUGGGCCCCUCGCAGCUCCACCGGCCUACUUCUUCCUCCUAUAUAUACCCAUAUACCCCGAAAACAUCCAGUAGCACCACGAAACCCUAUUUCCACCGCCGCAACCUUCUGUACCCGUGAGAUCCAUCUUGGGGCCUUUUCCGGCGCUCCGCCGGAGGGGGAAUCGAUCACAGAGGGCUUCUACAUCAAUGAUACGUCUCCAACGUAUCUAUAAUUUAUGAAGUAUUCAUGCUAUUAUAUUAUCUGUUUUGGAUGUUUAUGGGCCUUAUUAAACACUUUUAUAUUAUUUUUGGGACUAACCUAUUAACCGGAGGCCCAGCCCAAAUUGUUGUUUUCUUGCCUAUUUCAGUGUAUGAAGAAAAGGAAUAUCAAACGGAGUCCAAACGGAAUGAAACCUUCGGGAGAGUUAUUUUUGGAACGAAAGCAAUCCAGGAGACUUGGAGUAGACGUCAGGGAAGCUUCGAGGAAGCCACGAGGCAGGGAGGCGCGCCCUACCCCCUGGGCGCGCCCCCCACCCUUGUGGGCCCCUCGUGGCUCCCCUGACCGACUUCUUUCGCCUAUAUAUGUCCAUAUACCCUAAAAACAUCGGGGAGCAGAAUAGAUCGGGAGUUCCAUUGCUGCAAGCCUCUGUAGCCACCAAAAACCAAUCGGGACCCUGUUCCGGCACCCUGUCGGAGGGGGGAUGCCUCACCGGUGGCCAUCUUCAUCAUCCCAGCGCUCUCCAUGACGUGGAGGGAGUAGUUCACCCUCGGGGCUGAGGGUAAGUACCAGUAGCUAUGUGUUUGAUCUCUCUCUCUCUCUCGUGUUCUUGAUUUGGCACGAUCUUGAUGUAUCGCGAGCUUUGCUAUUAUAGUUGGAUCUUAUGAUGUUUCUCCCCCUCUACUCUCUUGUAAUGGAUUGAGUUUUCCCUUUGAAGUUAUCUUAUCGGAUUGAGUCUUUAAGGAUUUGAGAACACUUGAUGUAUGUCUUGCAUGUGCUUAUCUGUGGUGACAAUGGGAUAUUCACGUGAUCUACUUGAUGUAUGUUUUGGUGAUCAACUUGCGGGUUCAGUGACCUUGUGAACUUAUGCAUAGGGGCUGGCACACGUUUUCGUCUUGACUCUCCGGUAGAUACUGUGGGGCACUCUUUGAAGUUCUUUGUGUUGGUUGAAUAGAUGAAUCUGAGAUUGUGUGAUGCAUAUCGUAUAAUCAUACCCACGGAUACUUGAGGUUACAUUGGAGUAUCUAGGUGACAUUAGGGUUUUGGUUGAUUUGUAUCUUAAGGUGUUAUUCUAGUACGAACUCUAUGAUAGAUCGAACGGAAAGAAUAGCUUCGUGUUAUUUUACUACGGACUCUUGAAUAGAUCGAUCAAAAAGGAUAACUUUGAGGUGGUUUCGUACCCGACAAUAAUCUCUUCGUUUGUUCUCCGCUAUUAGUGACUUUGGAGUGACUCUUUGUUGCAUGUUGAGGGAUAGUUAUAUGAUCUAAUUAUGUUAUUAUUGUUAAGAGAACUUGCACUAGUGAAAGUAUGAACCCUAGGCCUUGUUUCCCAGCAUUGCAAUACCGUUUGUGCCCACUUUUAUCAUUAGUUACCUUGCUGUUUUUAUAUUUUCAGAUUACAAAAACCUAUAUCUACCAUCCAUAUUGCACUUGUAUCACCAUCUCUUCGCCGAACUAGUGCACCUAUACAAUUUACCAUUGUAUUGGGUGUGUUGGGGACACAAGAGACUCUUUGUUAUUUGGUUGCAGGGUUGUUUGAGAGAGACCAUCUUCAUCCUACGCCUCCCACGGAUUGAUAAACCUUAGGUCAUCCACUUGAGGGAAAUUUGCUACUGUCCUACAAACCUCUACACUUGGAGGCCCAACAACGUCUACAAGAAGAAGGUUGUGUAGUAGACAUCAAUCAACACCAUAGCCUCUCCGAUGAUGUGUGAGUAGUUUACCACAGACCUUCGGGUCCAUAGUUAUUAGCUAGAUGGCUUCUUCUCUCUCUUUGGAUCUCAAUACAAAGUUCUCCUCGAUUCUCUUGGAGAUCUAUUCGAUGUAAUUCUUUUUGCGGUGUGUUUGUCGAGAUCCGAUGAAUUGUGGGUUUAUGAUCAAGAUUAUCUGAAAGAACAUGCGGUGCCCCCAUGUUUAGUUUUGGUAAUUGAUGACAAUCUCUAUGGACUAAUGGUUGCCUUGAGUUAUAUUUGAAGGAUUUGUCCAUAGGCAUUUCUUGAAGUCCAUGUGGUGGUUUCAAGGAGUUUAUGUGGUGACCAAUGUGUUAUUAAGGAAUUAUCCAAAGAUUGGUCAUGUGAGAGUUGAGCUUAUUGCAAGCAUGUCUUGGAGAAGAAGAUUGUGUGAUCAUUCAUGUAUAUCUUCAAGACAUCAUCCAAAUGAAGAGAGUUGAAAAUAUUCAAGGUUGAUCAAGACUAAGUCAAGAGUGAAUCAACUUGAUCAACUCACAAAGCGUAGAAGAUGUACCGAGAGGGAUCAAGCGAUCCCAUGGUGUGGUAAGCAUUGUCAAUUACGCUUUGUGUACUAACCCAUGAUCUUCGUGAGAGUUCUUUGUGGGGUUAGGUUGCGGUGUGCAAGUUCAAGUGAAGCAUCAUGAAGAGAUCAAAUGCUUGGAGCUUGCCGUCCAUUGUGGUGACAAUGGACUUGUGAAGAUGUUGCGGUGUGCAAGUUCAAGUGAAGCAUCAUGAAGAGAUCAAAUGCUUGAAGCUUGCCGUCCAUUGUGGUGACAAUGGACUUGUGAAGAUGUGCGGAAGAGUGGCUCACCCAUAGUGGAGUAUGGGGGAGCAAUCAACUUGUCUUCAUCGAGCCAACACAACCAAGAAAGGUGGUCCAACUUGAGGGAGUCAAGAUCGUCAUCAUCUAGCUCAAGUGGACCAUGUGCAAGGCAAAGGUUUGUCCUUGAUAGGUUUUCUAUUUUACCGGUCUCAUGAUGGUAGUUGGGAGACCGGGUUAUAGGAUCGAUUGCCGUACUAUCAAGGGGGGCUCUCGAUGAGUAGCUUGAUCGUAUCAUUCGUAGAGAGCUCAAACCAUUGCAUCCUUGCAUCAUCUUUAUUGGUUCUUGUUUGGUUCUUUUCUUUGUGAGUUUUGGAGCUAAUGGCCAUCUUGAUGAUAAGCUCGAGUUCAUCGAAAACGGAGUUCACUCGCAUCUUCUAUGAUGUUUUCGAUGUUGGAGGUUAUGCCGGUUCUUCUCGGUUGGAGGUUUCACUCCUCUAUUUGUUGGCAUACCUCCCCUGCCUCUUCUUACGGAGUUCACUGCUGUUUUGAUGCUACUCGUCUUCCUCUUUCCAACAAGCUUGAGUUUGCUCAAUUCGGAGCUCAUAUGCAGAAGUUAUGGCAGUUUUGGUCCCAGCGGUAGUACCGCGGGCCGGAGCGGUAGUACCGCUUGGGUGCUACAAGCGGUAGUACCGCUUGGGUGCUACAAGCGGUAGUACCGCUCUAGAGCGGUAGUACCGCUCCUGAGCGGUAGUACCGCUGGUAGCCCCCAGCCGUAGUACCGCUGCGGUCUCGUGCUAGUACCGCCUCGAUUCGAGGGGUCUUUUUCGUGUCGGGUUCUACGGUACUAGCCGCGGCAGUGGGGGCCGCAGUACCGCUCGUUUGCGGUAGUACCGCCCUGCCACCGCGGUAGUACCGCUCUGGGCCCAGUGGCAGUACCGCGAGGGGGAGCGGUAGUACCGCUUAUAGGGGCAAGCGGUAGUACCGCUGGCCAAGCGGUAGUACCGCUCUCUGCGGGGCUGAAGUGGGGGUAACGGUUGGAUUGUUCCCCCACUAUAUAAGGAGGUCUUCUUCCCCAAUGGACCUUAUCUUUGGAGCUCGUGUUCUUCCCCCAUUGUUGACCUUCUUCGAGCUUGCUAACUCUCAAUCCCUCCAUGGAUUCUUGCUAGUUUUUGAGGGAAAAGAGAGAGGAGAUCUAGAUCCACAUUUCCACCAAUCACUUUCUCCUCUAUGUGAGGGGAACCCAUUGGAUCUAGAUCUUGGAGUUCUUGGUGUUCUCCUUCUUGUUCUUCCCUCUCAUUUUCCUCCCUAGCAUUAGUUGCUUCGGUGGGAUUUGAGAGAGAAGGACUUGGGCACUCCGUGUGCCCUUGCCAUUGCAUUUGGUGCAUCGGUUUGAGUUCUCCACGGUGAUACGUGGAAGUUACAAGUUGAGAAGCUUAUUACUCUUGGGUGCUUGGUGCCCUUGAGCUUGUUCCUCUUGGGUGCUUGGGCGCCCUAGACGGUUGGUGGUGUUCGGAGCUCAAUCAUUGUGGUGUAAAGCUCUGGGCAAGCGUCGGGGUCUCCAAUUAGGUUGUGGAGAUCGCCCCGAGCAAUUUGACAGGUACCGGUGACCGCCCCCAAGGGUUGCCAAAGUGUACGAGUUUGGUGACCGCCCCCAAGGGUUGCCAUUUGUAUGGGUUCGGUGACCGCCCUCAAGGGUCCCUUAGUGGAAUCACGGCAUCUUGCAUUGUGCGAGGGCGUGAGGAGAUUAUGGUGGCCCUAGUGGCUUCUUGGGGAGCAUUGUGCCUCCACACCGCUCCAAACGGAGAUUAGCAUCCGCAAGGGUGUGAACUUCGGGAUACAUCGUCGUCUCCGCGUGCCUCGGUUAUCUCUUACCCGAACCCUUUACUUAUGCACUUUACUUUGUGAUAGCCAUAUUGUUUCUUGUCAUAUAUCUUGCUAUCACUUCGUUGUUUAUCUUGCUUAGCAUAAGUUGUUGGUGCACAUAGGUGAGCCUAGUUGUUGUAGGUUUUGUGCUUGUCAAAUUAACCGCUAGGUUUAUUCCGCAUUUGUUCAAGCCUAAACCGUAAUUAUUUUAAAGCGCCUAUUCACCCCCCCUCUAGGCGACAUCCACGAUCUUUCAUUAUCUAUGAACAAUAUCUGAAUCUCCUCUGAAUUCUUUUAUGUAUGAUUGGUUAUCUUUGCAAGUCUCUUCGAAUUAUCAGUUUGGUUUGGCCUACUAGAUUGAUCUUUCUUGCAAUGGGAUAAGUGCUUAGCUUUGGGUUCAAUCUUGCGGUGUCCUUUCCAAGUGACAGCAGGGGCAGCAAGGCACGUAUUGUAUUGUUGCCAUCGAGGAUAAAAAGAUGGGGUUUAUAUCAUAUUGCUUGAGUUUAUCCCUCUACAUCAUGUCAUCUUGCUUAAUGCGUUACUCCGUUCUUAUGAACUUAAUACUCUAGAUGCAUGCUGGAUAGCGGUCAAUGUGUGGAGUAAUAGUAGUAGAUGCAGAAUUGUUUUGGUCUACUUGUCGCGGACGUGAUGCCUAUAUACAUGAUCAUGCCUAGAUAUUCUCAUAACUAUGUGCUUUUCUAUCAAUUUCUCGACAUUAAUUUGUUCACCCACCGUAAUACUUAUGCUAUCUUGAGAGAAGCCACUAGUGAAACCUAUGGCCCCCGGGUCUAUUUUCCAUCAUAUAAGUUUUCAAUCUAUUUUUACUUUGCAAUCUUUACUUUCAAUCUAUAUCAUAAAAAUACCAAAAAUAUUUAUCUUAUUAUCUCUAUCAGAUCUCACUUUUGCAAGUGGCCGUGAAGGGAUUGACAACCCCUUUAUCGCGUUGGUUGCAAGGUUCUUAUUUGUUUGUGUAGGUACGAGGCGAUUUGCGUGUAUCCUCCUACUGGAUUGAUACCUUGGUUCUCAAAAACUGAGGGAAAUACUUAUGCUACUUUGCUGCAUCACCCUUUUCUCUUCAAGGGAAAACCAAUGCAUGCUCAAGAGGUAGCAGACUCUUAUCAAAUUUUUGGCACUUUGGCAUCUUUGCCUAGGGCUCCCACCAUAACUUCCGCAAAACCACCAUAGCCUUCCGCAACCUAACCAAUUUUGUACCCCAUAGCAUUUGAGGUUGAGUAAUGAUUCGAGUCUCCUAAGGUGUUUCGGCUACUUAGGGACGAUUGCUUCUUCACCAACCACCACCAUAACUUCCGCAUAGGCUUACCCACCAUACACUUCCACCAUCCCAACCUAACCCAAUUUUGUUUGUGUUGAGUUGUGUCUCCUAAGAUGUUUCGACUACUUAGGGACCGUGCUUCCAACUCCGACACCGUGUAUAGCCCAUCAUACCCCCAACAACUUAACCCAUUUUGACCGGGUUUCCACCAAUACUUCCGCAACCACCAUCGCAUUCCCACUACCACCAUUUUGACUUUUGAUGUUUGUGAUUUUGAGUUCGCGGUUUUUCCGUUUCCUAAGGUGUUUCGGCUAAUUAGGGACGGUUCGACGUUGAGAGCACCGCCACUCAUCAUCGCCACGAGGUCGUCAUCGACAUUGACCACUUCAUCAUUAUCCGUCCUUGCUUACACAUGACAAACCAUUGAUGGUAACCUCGACGGCAUCAUUGUACAUUCUCCCUUGCCAUUACAUUGUUAACCCCUAGCCCAUUUUGCGUCACUUGCCUAUCGAGACUAGCCAUUUGAGUAUUGCCGGCAACGUUACUUGUGCACAUUAGUGAUCUACACCAUCCAUUGCAUACAUACCAUAUCAUAUUGGUAUCAUAUCAUCCCUUGUGUCACAAGAUUGUUCCCGUAUAUACAAAAUUGCUAUCUUGGUUUGUGCAUUUCGCAUUGUGGCCAUAUCAAAAAAAAAAGAGAAUAAGCUUUUAAGCAAAAGAGAGAGAGCAAAGAAGCUUGUAAGAAAGUGCCAUAGCAUCAUACCACAUUGCACAUAAGAUUGUCAUAUUCAAUCAUCUUGGAUCAUCUUGAGAGGAACAUCGGGAACCAUAUAUAUACAUAGCAUAAUUGGGAUAGAAGUCGUUGCAUUUUUGUCUCCUAUAGGUUGCGCACAAGUGUCGUAUCCGCCUAUUGAGAAAUCGUGCUAGCGUCUCUCUAGAGUUGUGCAACAAGAGCAUUUUCCGUGGAUUCCACAUUUUGAGCUCAUUCCUUGGUUGCACGACCCCAUUUAUCUAUCCGUGUGUGCGUUUCCGUGUGCCACAUAUUGCUAUUGGUCUACUUGUUUCACUUGCGAAUUUGUUUAUCUCUUUCAACAUUAUUAACUCUUGCUAACAUUUUGCAUCAAAUUUUUGUGCCACUAUCCUCACCGAGCUCCACCAUAAGCCUUAUUUGUGUAGGUGUGAGAAAUUGACGAGAUCGGUACCAAUUGUGCUAUUUCCUUGUUACAUCAUUGAGUGAUCAUUGAUCCAUUUUCAACAUCGGUCAAGGAACAUUUGGUAUAGUUCUCUCCUUUCUUCCACUCAUAUUUGCUCGAGUCUUGUGAUGGAUAGGCAAGGCAUUUCAUCUCCGGUCUUCCACGACAACGACAGCGCGAACAACUACAUCACCAAAACGUCCAUCUUCGGACUACAACACAAAAUGCAAGGUGCACAAUCUACCUUGCGAGAGUGCCUCAACAACCUCGCCAUCGACAUACGACACUCCGAAGCAAGGAAAAGGGACUACAUCGACACCAAGCUGGACGAGCUAAAGGAUCAACUACGAGACAUGGUGGCCGACUACAAGUCUUCUUCUUACCCUUCAUCAUCCUCAAGGCAACGGCGAGCAAGUCGAUCAUCUUCGGAGCGCCCAUGCGAUGCAAGUGCAAGUCGUCCACGUCCACAUCUACAUGGCGACCAUCAUCACAUUCAUGAUCCACAUCGUCAUGAAGAGCAAGUCACCUCCAAGCAACAUGUGCGCGACGACGACGAACGACAUCUACUAUGAGCUCAAAUACGACAAUGACACCAUCAACAUGAAGAUGCUCGAGAUGCGCCUACCUACAAGUCCCAACAAGCUCUACAUCAAGCUACGGCCAACCUUCACGAGCACAAGAGAAGACCGCAAGACAAGCACCACCAAGAGGACGCUACGGCUACCACCACCACUUCGGCAUCUUCGCCAAGUGCUAUCGAGGCAUCUUCGCCUUCGGACGCAUGACAUCUUCGCCUACUUCCCACGAGUUCGCCUACAUCGACAUCUUCAACACCAAGGCGAACGACUACAAGCUAGGGCAACACUUCCAUCUUCAGAAGCCCCUCAAGGAAGAUGGCCGAGCAUGGGAAUUUCCCUUCGGUCAUGGAGACGAGCUACGAGGUGCCACAUCAUAUGGGUCUCCAACAACAAGCGGCGACAGGAAGGUUGAGCAAAGGCCAUCCCCUUCGACCACGGCGUCGAGCGCGAACCUCUUCAACAACAUGAAGACAACGCCCCAACGGGACUCAUACUCCGAGUCAAGCUACGAGACCGCACAUGAGACAUUAUCGUUGGUCUCGGAGGAGAGUGAUGUUUUGCCACAUCCUACGGCAUUCAUCUUUGGAGGCGUUAUGGAUGAGGAGGUUGAGCAUGGGACUAUCCCUUCAACCAAGGCGGCGAUAGGAGUUGAGCAUGGAGACAUUUGCACCAACAUCUCUCCGACACCUACAUAUGAAGAGAUGCCCCAAUUCCCAUGCGAGGAGAGCCACCACCACAUGAGUGACAUGAGUGACUCCACCAUAUGUGACAUUGAGUGCAUUUCCUAUGAGAGGAUGGGUGUGACCACCACUAGCCCCACACUUGAGAGCAUGCGCCACAUCCUAUGUGUGGUUGAGAGCCAUUUGAGUGACUCCACCAACCAUACGAGUGAGAGCAUCCAAGAGGGAGUGAGUGAGCCACAACACCUAGUGAGUGAGGUAGUUGAGAGGGCAUGUGAGGCCACUAUGAUUUCUAACAACUUAACCUCUACUCCGAGUGUGUUUUCUUUGGUGCUAGGUCUCCUACAUGACGACAUGCCUAUCCUCGAUGAGUCCAUACCUCCAAUGGACACGACGAUGGCCAUGGUGGACGAUGAUGCACCCCCCAUAUGGUUCCAUCAAGAUGAAGAUGACAACGCGUGGAUCUUCGACACCUCACCUACAACACAUGAGCGACACUCCAAAGGUAACAUAGGUGAUGGUGCUUCUCUUGUCCCACUAGUGGACUAUCUUACCAAUGAUUGCUUGCAUGAUGUUGAUCCACCUAUCCCCAUGCUUCAUGCUAGUGUGACUUCCUCAUGUCAUGACUUACCAAUUUAUGAUGAAUACGAUGAUGAACAUGUUGGAUUGCCUAGUUGUGAUGCUAUGCUCCAUAGGAUAUUAUGUGAAAAUUCUUUUUGUCACAUCAUGUUCGACAAUCCAUUAAACUUGUCAUAUGCUAUGAGUGAGAUCUCCCAUAUUGCAUCAUUUCAAUCUCAACAUAGUAACUAUGCAUGCCCUAUUAAAAUAAAUCCCAUUUGCACUUAUGUCAUAGAUGACGCGAUGAUGGUCAUUGGCUUUUGUUUUUCAUGCGAUGAUAUUGCUAUGCUUCCUUUACAUGAUUUGCGCAAUUCAUCUACUAUGCCAUGCCAUGAUCACAUUGUUCCAAAUAUGCAUUGUUUUGGAUGUUGUCAAUAUUCUCCAUGUAAUGUUUCCACUAAUUCUCAUGAGGAGACCCCCAUAGUUUCCUCAUACAUAUUAGGAGAUCUUGAUGCAUUCCAUACUUUGCAUGAUUCCCAUAAUUGCUUGCACCAUAUGCAUACCAUUCAUAACAAUGCUCUAGAUAUCACUAGUGAUGCAUUACACAAUUUGAGUAUCCGUUAUGCUAUACAUAAUAACAAACCUCUCAUGAUGGAUGACAUGUUUCUAUAUCACGCAUCUCAUUUAUUUGAGCAUUGGAUAUUUUGUGCUAACCAACACAUGCACGUAUGCAUCAUGAUGGAUGAUGUGUACAUAUACCACGGACACACAAUUUUUCCUUUGUCUUUGUUUUGUGUAGGUACUCACGUAUACUCGUCAACCUCUCAAUCCCAAGAGUUGACGAAACGAGCUCUUGAGAGCAACGAUGACUUGGGAUCACGUGGACUAUCCGUACCACCAUUCCCUUCGCGCACGAACUACGCGCAUCUCUUUUACUUGGCUCUCACAUGGCUAUGGGAUAUUUAUCACUUGUCAUCUUAUGCCCAUUCUAUCGUGUUCACUUUGCAUGUUAUGCCUCUUUACAUGAUUUUGCCAUGCAAUUGUGACCCUUGCUUGCACUUACAUGUGAUUCACCAUUAUACUACUCCUAUGUGUAUUUGCAUGCUUGGUGGAGAUAAUUGUUGCUAUUACCAUGUUUUCCUUGUGCCACAUGCUAUUGUUCAUUGUUGUGUUGGGAGAGUCAUAAUGUCCCAUUGUUAUUUACAUAUGGCCUCUCACCAAUAUAUUGAUGAUAUUUUGCUCAUAUCUUGCCAUCAUGCUUGUGAUAUGUCUUGUGCAUUAUUCAUGACCACUAUUUGCACACAUGACAUGCUUGCCAUGAUUCCUUCUAGUACAUUGCAUCUUCGCACUACUAGCUUGCUUGACUUGAUCACUAUGAUUGCUUGCUUUGUCGCAUCAACCAUGUUCCAUUAUUACUCGCUUUCUUGGGUUGAUGACAUAUAUGUUCAUGCCUCUCACUUGAUUUGUCUUGACCAUUGUCUCUUGUCUCCAGUAGUUGCAUCUCUCAUAUCACCUUGUAUUGAGGGCCAACUUGCUAUGCUUAUUGAUCGUGGAGACUUGGACAUAUUACUUGUGAUGCAUGCUUCUUUGAUUGAGCUUAAUCUCUUUGGUUGUGCUAGCAUCUUAUGCCUACAUACCAUGAACUAUACCCUUGUACUUUCUUAUGAUAAGCAUGAUGAAAACACUUGUUGGGUAUUUCACCACACGAAUGAUAGGUUUUGCAUUUCCGCUAACCUCAUUUGUUUUUCUGAGUGUUUGUCAUGUCCUUUAAUUCCGAAGGAUUCUCAAGGCAUUUCCAUCACGAGACAUAUUGGGUAUGUGAAGGCGUACAUGAUGCGCAACACCAACAUUUUCGACAUCCUCAUAGAGGUGAACUCUUUCCCUUUGAUCCAUUCUCAAAUACGCAUAUUGGAUGGGCCAUACUUUCAUUGUUGUUCCCUUCUUCUUGUCUACAUGAUACAUAUAUUGGAUGGAGGACCGACAUUGGAGAUGGACCCUAUGGACCUUCAAGUUGAGGAGUGCCCGGACAUAGUGGAUGCACCACCGAACCAACACUUCUACCCCGACAUCGAGUUAUGGUACAACACCACCCAUAACAAAUUUGCAUCUUAUGCAUGGAUUGACUCACAUUAUGAUUGCCUUGUUGCAUCUUGUAUUUCGAUGUCAUCCAUGAUAUAUGAGCUUGUGCACUUCCUUAGCAAAUUUGUUGUGAUCUUUCUUGAUGGCAUAUUCAUACAUCAUGAUCAUAUUGCCUACCAUCAAUUGCAUGAUAACUUCUUCAUAUUGAGCAUCCAUUGCCAUAUUCAUGCUAUUGAUAAACCGUCUCACUAUGACAUCAUUUUGCACCGUGGUUGCAUUGAUCAUAUUCACAACACAUUUGUGUGCACAAUGAAUGCUUUUGCUCCCAUGAACGCUUUGCAUAUCAUUCUAUAUCAUCUUGAUAAGCUUCACGUGCUUUGCCACGAACAAUCUUGCCGCACGGACUCAUACUUAUUUGAUGGACACCUUGUGUGCGCUAACCAUUGUAUUUCCAAGUGUCCCUUGUGUUUUCUCAUUUUGCAUGUUUACCAUCCCGACUACACCUUGGAGUACUUGGAUUGCGUCAUGUCUUCCACUUCGUCCAACUACAAGUCCGUCCACGGCAACCGUUUCCAUGGUGAUGAGGUUGUCGAUCCGAGGACGGAUCUUUCCCAAGGGAGGGGAGAUGAUGCGGAGCAUCCUACGAUCAUCCCCAUGCACACUACGACUACUCCCCAAGCCUCAAGAGGACCUACGAAGAGACCUCCAGCAUACACCAUUGGACACAAUGUGAACCCGCUCCUAGACGCUUCCCCUUUCCAUUCAUGCGAGACAUGGUUGCCACCUCAAGCGCGGACCUUGUGCAUACUCAGGUACACCCAAGGAGACCAUAGGGAGCCCAAGGACCAAUGCCAAGUGUGCGCGGGAGCAAAGGAAGGAGAAAGAAGAAGAGCCAGCUGCUACAGCGCCCGGACAUCCGGCCCAGCCCGGAAAUCCGGCCCCUUCCUAUCCAGAGAGCUCCGGAAGUGACCCUGAUAGCCCGGACAUCCAGCCCCAUGCCCCGGACAUCCGGCUCCUCCCGAAGCCCCAGACAUCCGGCUUCUUCGCCCGGACAUCUGGCCCCGCCUAUCCAGAGAGCACAGGGAUCGGGCAACUCCAGCCCGGACAUCCGGCCAGAGGCCCGGACAUCCGGCUCUUCGUGAGCCCCCGAACAUCCGGCCCCCAGCCCAGACAUCCGGCGCCUAUCUGCGCACAGUGUACGGCCAAGGGCCCAUGUAUCCCCCCUCUCACUUACCCCUUCGUGGGCUAACACUAUAUAUAGACCCCCUCCUCCUCCUAGUUAGGGUUAGCAUUGUGAUAGCUCAUAUGUGAGAUAGAGCCUCGCUCAUCCAUCCGGAUCUACUCCAUCGCGAGGGACCGACACCUCUUCGGAGAAGAUCCACUUGGAUUCAAGACCCCUAACGGGAAGACCUCAAGACCUCCUCACGGAGAAGAACCGGUUACCCUAUGUAUCAUCUCUUGUUGGAUUUGGACCGUGUGAUCUCUAUGUGUACUUUGAUCUAGCAUAUGUGUGACCUAAUCUCGUUGGUUUGAGUGUUUCUCUUGUGUUUUCCUUCGUGAUUUCCCCUUGUGUUCUUCAUGUUCAUCGCGGGAUCCGCUCCUUUCGUGAAAGAUCGGCCAUCUAGGGUUCCACCCUACAUCAUGGGGCCUCGAGCAGAGCUUCGCUGCGGAUCCAUGGCAACGGUGGCCACACGUGCAGGAAGGAAUGGCCACCCGCGAGCUCCCAAAGUGGUGGAAAAGAUGCAACAGAUGGCGGGGAGCUACUCGACGGCGUGGGGUGGCCAGGGGCAGCAGGAAUUGACAUCGAGAUGUGGCGGUGACGACAACGGUAUUCCGCCCCGCCAAAAUUUCCCAGUGAUUGGGGAAACAGAAAAUAGGGCGGCAAAAACUGGACAUAUGCGGCAUUGGGGUCAAAAUAUCCUGCUUUCCUGAUUUUUUUUUUCAAACCGUGCUGUUUUUCAAAUUCUGCGCGGGUUAUUUUUCACCCGACUAGGGUGUUUUCCAGGAUCCGCUAGAGAUGCUCAGACCAAGGGUCCGUUUGCUGUCCGCCGCGACCUAAACCCGGUGCAUGUUUGCGCUCGAAAUGGUUCGGCCCGGACACAAAACGGACCAGAUGGGUUCAAGCCGUCGCGUGUUGGGCCGUCUGAUUUAUCCCUUUUGCCCCCAAAUGGAUGGGGCCGGACGGGAUGGGGUCGCGCGCUGGAGUUGGCCUAAAAGCAACAAUUCUGUGUGUGUUUGGGUCCGCCUGUUGCAGGUCCCUAAGGCCUCAUUUGNNNNNNNNNNNNNNNNNNNNNNNNNNNNNNNNNNNNNNNNNNNNNNNNNNNNNNNNNNNNNNNNNNNNNNNNNNNNNNNNNNNNNNNNNNNNNNNNNNNNNNNNNNNNNNNNNNNNNNNNNNNNNNNNNNNNNNNNNNNNNNNNNNNNNNNNNNNNNNNNNNNNNNNNNNNNNNNNNNNNNNNNNNNNNNNNNNNNNNNNNNNNNNNNNNNUGGUGAAUCUGCCUCUUCCACCCAAUCCCCUCAAAUCCCUUUGAAACCCUCCAAACACAAUCCACUUCGUAUAAAGUUUUUGUUUGGUAGAAGGGGUUUGCAUACUAAUAUAAGAUGUGCAAAACAACUAAAAAUGUAAUCUUUACUAGUAGAGAUAAGCAGAGCCACAUCUGUCACAACAAGCGACGCAUCAUCAGUCUAGGAGGCCAUUGAGCAAGAAAACAGAAGGUCGGGAGCUGAAACUGAGUUUUUAUCUGUAGAUAUCGACACUUUCGUCAGUUAACUUAAACAUGGUACUUGUCAGAAACAUCUCAGCAAGUUUAUAGCCGUCAUAUGCAGUGAUUUACAGAGAAACACAAGCUUGCACAACAGAUCCAACCAAAACAAAGUAGCACAAACUUGAUCAUGGCAAGAACUGAAAUAAGCGCUGUUGUUAUUUCUCCAGAUCAUGAAUCAGUGUGAUCCCACACAAGUUACAAGAGGACAGAGCACAAACAGCUAACUACAGAGCGCCAUCGAUCUCAUCCACCAAAGAAGACACAGGGACAGCCGAAUUAGGCGGAGGUGUGACGGCCAUGGUGCCCUCGGAAAGCAUCUAACUCCAGCCUGGAAAGCAGCAAAUACUCGUAAUAACCCUGCAAGAAAACAUUGAUCUUGAGACCACAUAAAAAAAAGCCAAAAAUGGCAACAUCAUCAGCACACACAUCUACAAAUUGGAAACUGCACAGCUCACAUUAAGCCCCAGCAAAAUACAUGGGAUUUCUUAUUGUAUAUAUCCUGGCCCAAACACACAUAAUUCAAUGUCUAUUCUUGUGUAAAAGAAUUCUGUAUGUGAUAAAUUCUACUAUAAUAUUUACUGUUUAGUGUGUAGGAAGUCAACUGAUGACUGAAAUGAGCAGCUAUAUACAACAAAUAGACCACAGCUGUUGUAGAGCUAGGAUUCAUCUGUGCAGAUAUAUAAGCAAUUGUCAACAAUGCUCCCAGGUAAACGCCAUUCAAUCUUUUGUUAUAAUAAAAGUUCACGUAUGAUUAAGCCCAAACAGACGAGGUUGUGAUCCUUUUACUCCUAUCUAACUAGAGACAAGCACCGAAC